AUGUCUCAGGUGUAUCUCCUCCUGUUUCUGUCCUGGCUUUACAACAGCCAGACUACAAAGGCCACUCUAAUCACCCAGCGUCCUCUCCUUAUCAUGAAGAAAGGGGACUCUGCUGUUCUAGACUGUGAGCAGGAUGGCUCAGAUAAUACCAUGUCCUGGUACAGACAGGCCCCUGACAAGGGCCUGUAUCUCAUCUACUAUUCAGCUGGUCCUAGAUCAGAGGAGAGGCAGCAAUCCAUCCCGGACAGAUUCACAGCUAAGAGAUCUGUCUUAAAGUCUUUCCCCCUGAAUAUCCAGACCCUUCAGGCAGAAGACUCUGCUGUUUAUUUCUGUGCGAGCAGCCACAGUGUGAGAAAGUAA